AUCCAGCUGAUGAGUCCCAAGUAAGACGAAAUGCGUGUCGUGGAU
rfam:Schistosoma margrebowiei strain Zambia genome assembly, scaffold: SMRZ_contig0000793